CCUACGGGAGGCAGCAGUGAGGAAUAUUGGUCAAUGGGCGAGAGCCUGAACCAGCCAAGUAGCGUGAGGGACGACUGCCCUAUGGGUUGUAAACCUCUUUUGUUUGGGAAUAAAGUGGGCCACGCGUGGCUUUUUGUAUGUACCUUACGAAUAAGCAUCGGCUAAUUCCGUGCCAGCAGCCGCGGUAAU
rnacentral:rRNA from 1 species